AGAGUUUGAUCCCUGGCUCAGAAUGAACGCUGGCGGCGUGCCUAACACAUGCAAGUCGGAUGUGCCGCAAGGUGCAUGGCAGACGGGUGAGUAACGCGUGGGGAAUCUACCUCUUUGUGGGGAAUAACGCUCCGAAAGGAGUGGUAAUACCGCAUGAGAUCCAUGGCUGGGAUGCUGUGGAUGAAACCUGGGGACCGCAAGGCCUGGGGCAAGGAGAGGAUCCUGCGUCUGAUUAGCUAGUUGGUGAGGUAAUGGCCCACCAAGGCGACGAUCAGUAGCCGGCCUGAGAGGGUGAUCGGCCACACUGGAACUGAGACACGGUCCAGACUCCUACGGGAGGCAGCAGUGGGGAAUUUUGCGCAAUGGGCGAAAGCCUGACGCAGC
rnacentral:rRNA from 1 species